AACGAACGCUGGCGGCAUGCCUAACACAUGCAAGUCGAACGAGAACUUCGGGUCUGGUGGCGCACGGGUGCGUAAAGCGGGGGGACAUGCCCGUAGAAUCGGAAUAAAUCCCCGAAAGGGGUGCUAAUAACGGAGAAUGCCUUCGGACAAAAGAUAUAUCGCCUUUGGAUGGGCCCGCGUUGGAUUAGCUAGUUGGUAGGGUAAAAGCCUACCAAGGCGACGAUCCAUAGCUGGUCGGAGAGGAUGAUCAGCCGCACUGGGACUGCGACACGGCCCCGACUCCUACGGGGGGCAGCAGUGGGGAAUACUGGACGAUGGGCCAAGGCCUGAUCCAGCCAUGCCGCGUGAGUGAUGAAGGCCUUAGGGUUGUACAGCUCUUUUGCCCGGGAUGAUAAUGACAGUACCGGGAGAAUAAGCUCCGGCUAACUCCGUG
rnacentral:rRNA from 1 species